CCAAAUCGAUCAAAAAAUUCCUUCAAAAGAUACAGAUUUUUGAAUUUCCAUGCAUCAUUUUUGUAUGGACAGCUGCUGUUCGGAUGAACGUUGAGAAAAACUAAAUUUUCUGUAGCAGCUGUCUCCAGCAGCUUUAAAACUAAAAAUAUAUUUUCAGGGUAAACUCACAGCUUAUCAUCACCGUCCGAGGUGGCGCCAAGUGACGGUACGGUGAACGGUGCUGUUCUUCAAUCGUCGUGCGCAGCUGGUAAGUAAUUCUUAUUAGAUUCAACAAAAUUUGCACUAAUUUCUUCUUCACUCUACUUACAGGUGUUUUUGGAUAGGCUUCAAAUAAACGUUGAUUUUCGGCCCUAACGCACUAAAUUA